rnacentral:rRNA from 1 species
CCUACGGGGGGCAGCAGUCGAGAAUCUUCGGCAAUGGGCGCAAGCCUGACCGAGCGACGCCGCGUGCGGGAUGAAGGUCUUCGGAUUGUAAACCGCUGUCGGCGGGGAUGAAAUGCAUGGGGGUACUCCCCUGUGUUUGACAGAGCCUCGGAGGAAGCACGGGCUAAGUUCGUGCCAGCAGCCGCGGUAAUACGAACUGUGCGAACGUUAUUCGGAAUCACUGGCGUUAACGGGGGCUUAAGCGGGGUGUGAAAUCCCCCGGCUCAACCGGGGAACUGCGCUUGAAACUGGGGUGCUCGAGUGAGGUAGGGGUGUAUGGAACUUCCGGUGGAGCGGUGAAAUGUGUAGAUAUCGGAAGGAACGCCGGCGGCGAAAGCGGUACACUGGGCCUUGUCUGACGCUGAGGCACGAAAGCUAGGGGAGUGAACGGGAUUAGAUACCCCAGUAGUC